rnacentral:rRNA from 1 species
UACGGAGGGUGCAAGCGUUAAUCGGAAUUACUGGGCGUAAAGCGCACGCAGGCGGUUUGUUAAGUCAGAUGUGAAAUCCCCGAGCUUAACUUGGGAACUGCAUUUGAAACUGGCAAGCUAGAGUCUUGUAGAGGGGGGUAGAAUUCCAGGUGUAGCGGUGAAAUGCGUAGAUAUCUGGAGGAACACCGGUGGCGAAGGCGGCAUCCUGGACCGACAUUGACGCUGAGGCGCGAAAGCCAGGGGAGCAAACGGG